GGGUUGUGAGGUUAAGCGACUAAGCGUACACGGUGGAUGCCCUGGCAGUCAGAGGCGAUGAAGGACGUGCUAAUCUGCGAAAAGCGUCGGUAAGGUGAUAUGAACCGUUAUAGCCGGCGAUGUCCGAAUGGGGAAACCCAGUGCAAUUCGUUGCACUAUCGUUAACUGAAUACAUAGGUUAACGAGGCGAACCGGGGGAACUGAAACAUCUAAGUACCCCGAGGAAAAGAAAUCAACCGAGAUUCCCCCAGUAGCGGCGAGCGAACGGGGAGCAGCCCAGAGUCUGAAUCAGCUUGUGUGUUAGUGGAACGGUCUGGAAAGUCCGACGGUACAGGGUGAUAGUCCCGUACACCAAAAUGCACAGGUUGUGAACUCGAAGAGUAGGGCGGGACACGUGGUAUCCUGUCUGAAUAUGGGGGGACCAUCCUCCAAGGCUAAAUACUCCUGACUGACCGAUAGUGAACCAGUACCGUGAGGGAAAGGCGAAAAGAACCCCGGCGAGGGGAGUGAAAAAGAACCUGAAACCGUGUACGUACAAGCAGUGGGAGCACCUUCGGGUGUGACUGCGUACCUUUUGUAUAAUGGGUCAGCGACUUAUAUUCUGUAGCAAGGUUAACCGUAUAGGGGAGCCGCAGGGAAACCGAGUCUUAACUGGGCGUUAAGUUGCAGGGUAUAGACCCGAAACCCGGUGAUCUAGCCAUGGGCAGGUUGAAGGUUGGGUAACACUAACUGGAGGACCGAACCGACUAAUGUUGAAAAAUUAGCGGAUGACUUGUGGCUGGGGGUGAAAGGCCAAUCAAACCGGGAGAUAGCUGGUUCUCCCCGAAAGCUAUUUAGGUAGCGCCUCGUGAAUUCAUCUUCGGGGGUAGAGCACUGUUUCGGCUAGGGGGUCAUCCCGACUUACCAACCCGAUGCAAACUACGAAUACCGAAGAAUGUUAUCACGGGAGACACACGGCGGGUGCUAACGUCCGUCGUGAAGAGGGAAACAACCCAGACCGCCAGCUAAGGUCCCAAAGUCAUGGUUAAGUGGGAAACGAUGUGGGAAGGCACAGACAGCCAGGAUGUUGGCUUAGAAGCAGCCAUCAUUUAAAGAAAGCGUAAUAGCUCACUGGUCGAGUCGGCCUGCGCGGAAGAUGUAACGGGGCUAAACCAUGCACCGAAGCUGCGGCAGCGACACUAUGUGUUGUUGGGUAGGGGAGCGUUCUGUAAGCCUGCGAAGGUGUGCUGUGAGGCAUGCUGGAGGUAUCAGAAGUGCGAAUGCUGACAUAAGUAACGAUAAAGCGGGUGAAAAGCCCGCUCGCCGGAAGACCAAGGGUUCCUGUCCAACGUUAAUCGGGGCAGGGUGAGUCGACCCCUAAGGCGAGGCCGAAAGGCGUAGUCGAUGGGAAACAGGUUAAUAUUCCUGUACUUGGUGUUACUGCGAAGGGGGGACGGAGAAGGCUAUGUUAGCCGGGCGACGGUUGUCCCGGUUUAAGCAUGUAGGCUGGUUGUCCAGGCAAAUCCGGAUAAUCAAGGCUGAGGUGUGAUGACGAGGCACUACGGUGCUGAAGUAACAAAUGCCCUGCUUCCAGGAAAAGCCUCUAAGCAUCAGGUAACAUCAAAUCGUACCCCAAACCGACACAGGUGGUCAGGUAGAGAAUACCAAGGCGCUUGAGAGAACUCGGGUGAAGGAACUAGGCAAAAUGGUGCCGUAACUUCGGGAGAAGGCACGCUGGUGUGUAGGUGAAGUCCCUGCGGAUGGAGCUGAGACCAGUCGAAGAUACCAGCUGGCUGCAACUGUUUAUUAAAAACACAGCACUGUGCAAACACGAAAGUGGACGUAUACGGUGUGACGCCUGCCCGGUGCCGGAAGGUUAAUUGAUGGGGUUAUCCGUAAGGAGAAGCUCUUGAUCGAAGCCCCGGUAAACGGCGGCCGUAACUAUAACGGUCCUAAGGUAGCGAAAUUCCUUGUCGGGUAAGUUCCGACCUGCACGAAUGGCGUAAUGAUGGCCAGGCUGUCUCCACCCGAGACUCAGUGAAAUUGAACUCGCUGUGAAGAUGCAGUGUACCCGCGGCAAGACGGAAAGACCCCGUGAACCUUUACUAUAGCUUGACACUGAACAUUGAGCCUUGAUGUGUAGGAUAGGUGGGAGGCUUUGAAGCGUGGACGCCAGUCUGCGUGGAGCCAACCUUGAAAUACCACCCUUUAAUGUUUGAUGUUCUAACGUUGGCCCCUGACCGGGGUUGCGGACAGUGUCUGGUGGGUAGUUUGACUGGGGCGGUCUCCUCCCAAAGCGUAACGGAGGAGCACGAAGGUUAGCUAAUCCUGGUCGGACAUCAGGAGGUUAGUGCAAUGGCAUAAGCUAGCUUGACUGCGAGCGUGACGGCGCGAGCAGGUGCGAAAGCAGGUCAUAGUGAUCCGGUGGUUCUGAAUGGAAGGGCCAUCGCUCAACGGAUAAAAGGUACUCCGGGGAUAACAGGCUGAUACCGCCCAAGAGUUCAUAUCGACGGCGGUGUUUGGCACCUCGAUGUCGGCUCAUCACAUCCUGGGGCUGAAGUAGGUCCCAAGGGUAUGGCUGUUCGCCAUUUAAAGUGGUACGCGAGCUGGGUUUAGAACGUCGUGAGACAGUUCGGUCCCUAUCUGCCGUGGGCGCUGGAGAAUUGAGGGGGGCUGCUCCUAGUACGAGAGGACCGGAGUGGACGCAUCACUGGUGUUCGGGUUGUCAUGCCAAUGGCACUGCCCGGUAGCUAAAUGCGGAAGAGAUAAGUGCUGAAAGCAUCUAAGCACGAAACUUGCCCCGAGAUGAGUUCUCCCUGAGACUUUAAGUCUCCUGAAGGAACGUUAAAGACGAUGACGUUGAUAGGCCGGGUGUGUAAGCGCAGCGAUGCGUUGAGCUAACCGGUACUAAUGAACCGUGAGGCUUAACCUUACAACGCCGAAG
rnacentral:rRNA from 1 species